rnacentral:ncRNA from 1 species
AUCAUCUUGUCGGAGUGCCUAGUCGGUUUAAUAAUACCUACAGGCUGAGACCGUUAACUCGGGUCCGCGGAACCUGAUCAGGCUAAUACCUGGGAAGGGAACAAGAGUAACCGACCU